UUUGCACUCUAGGGGCGACCUAGCUCAAGCAUCCAACACUUGCCAAGGACAGUUAGCCAUUUGUGGCAAGAUGGGUUGGAGGUGCAUAAUAUUCAGCAUUUGGUUCCUUAUAGCACUUAGCAGCCAGAGGACGCUACUGCCGGUGUAUGCUCGGGACAGUCCUGUCAGCAGCACAACCCCAAUGUCCACUAAUAGUGGUGAUGCUUCUAUCAACAAACAUACUGCCGGCCGUCGUAUGGAUAUCAGCCAACCCGGAGUGACAAACCAGAAGGGCGUCAUUCCUCUUCGCCCUCCCAGGAUACCCUGUCCCCCAAUCUUGUGCGGCCGAGCGCCUGCCACUGCAACGACAGUCAAUCCAUGAGAAGAACCACUGCAGCGGACGCAAUGCUGGAGCUUAAAGAAACGCUGGUGAACUGCAUGCUGACGAUUGUGGUCACUAGUCGUGCCGGCAUUGGAAUCACCGUCACCUACCAGUACCUAUAUAUGUAUGUGUUGCGAUUUACCUCAAGCAUCCUCAGCUUAUUUGUCGGUUCAUUCGCGGGUGUGUCAAAAGUUUAGCUACAACUCCACUUUGGAACCCUAUAGUGCACAAUGCACAGCAGGAAUUCCAAGGGGAUAGCUAGUUCCAUUUCCAAUAAUAUGCUAUAAGAGUAUGAACUCCAACAUUUCCAAAUGGAUAUAUGCUAUAUGCAUGUAGUGUAUGCAUAUGUGUCUUAUCAGGUUCUUCAUGAGAUUUUCAUAGGGGUGAGUGUGCGUACGUGAUUGUUAGUGUAUGUUUUGCAGAAAAAGUUCAACAUGAGGUCCUCUUUCGUGAUUCA